UCUUUCCUUAGAUUUAAAUCG
rnacentral:piRNA from 1 species